GGCUCGAGCUUUACCCCAACCCAUGUGAACCAUACCAAACUGUUGCCUCGGCGGG
rnacentral:rRNA from 1 species